UACGGAGGGGCCAGCGUUGCUCGGAAUCACUGGGCGUAAAGGGCUCGUAGGCGGUUUGAUAAGUCCUGUGUGAAAUCCCUUGCUUAACCAAGGAACUGCGCCGGAUACUGUCGAACUAGAGGCCGGGAGAGGGAAGCGGAAUUCCGAGUGUAGCGGUGAAAUGCGUAGAUAUUCGGAGGAACACCGGUGGCGAAGGCGGCUCCUGGACCGGUUCUGACGCUGAUGAGCGAAAGCUAGGGUAGCAAACAGG
rnacentral:rRNA from 1 species